CUAGCCCAGCACGUCACGGUGCAGCAGUGUGUGUCUGGGUUUGUGGGCACCCAGGUGGCCUGAGUGAAGGACGCGUCAGGUGCGAAGAUCGUCCUGGCCGUCUACAACCCCAUCCUGGGCACCAACUACCCGGCCGAGACCGGAGACCGCAUCAUCUUCCGCCAGCCCAGCCUGGACGAUGCCACGCUGAUCAUCAACCCGUUGCAGAUGGGAGACUACGGCAUCUACAGCUGUGAGUUUUACACCUACCCAGAGGGCAAACAGGAGGGCACAACCAACCUCACCGUGCUGGGCGGGUCGCAGUGGUUUACCGUCGAGCCGGCACAGAGCGACAUAGAUGUCCGCAUUGGGGGAGACGUGGAGUUCACGUGCGGCCGUCAAGUGCUGUCUCCAACAGAAACUGGGUUUGCUAAUCAAAAACGAUCGUCCCAUGGAUCGGAACAUCCGCGGUGAUCCAUCCUGAGUACAGGUCACGGGUGGAUUUAAACUUCACCAGCGGGUCGCUGGUACUGAGUUCGGUGAACGAGUCGGACAACGGGGAUUACACAGUGACACUCGCUGCAGAAGGCGGCGCCGCUCGAGCCUCAGCGACCAUCACACUGAAGGCACUCGAUGACAACCCGGUUGGGCGGAAGAGGAUUGUUGGCUCAUGGUGAAUGGCGACGAGAAAAUGGCGACUGGCAGAGAGAGAGAUGUGUCUCUUUGCUAGACCAGACUGAGAUUUUUUCCCCUUUGCAAUUGUUGUAAUUCUCUCUCCCCCUACGAUGCUUGCCCAACGCUCGGCCCUUCGAGCCAGCACCGCCAUUCACUGCGGUCAUGGCUGAUCAUCCCCAAUCAGUACCCCGUUCCUGCCUUUUCCCCAUAUCCCCUUCGCCCCAUAUCCUCAAGAGCUUAUCUUGCUCCCUCUUGAAAGUAUCCAGAGAACCGGCCUACACCGCCCUCUGAGGCAGAGAAUUCCACAGACUCACAACUGUCUGGGUGAAAAAGUGUGUCCUUAUCUCCGUUCUAAAUGGCUCCCCCCUUAUCCUUAAACUGUGUGUGGCCCAUGGUUCUGGACUCCCCCAACAUCGGGAAAUUACUUCCUGCCUCUAGCGUGUCCAAACCCUUAAUAAUGCUAUAUGUUUCAAUAAGAAUCCCUCUCAUCCUUCUAAAUUUCAGAGUAUACAAACCCAGCCGCUCAAUUCCACAGACUCACAACUCUCUGGAUUGACACCAUCCCACACACACUGGGGGCAAUUUACAAUUAUGGGGUUCUUGUGAUGUUAUGGUCGCCCA